CCUGGCAGCGGUAGGAGGGAACAGACAGAUGAGAAAAUCCAAACCCUCUGCCUCCACUGUGCUGGACUCCGGGCCUAUGUCCCCCAGGACAACACAGAGGGGGUCUUGGCUCAUGUCACAGGCCCAGCAGGGGCCCCCCUAUUCAGCAGGUGUUCACGGCAGGCUGGGCGCCAUGGCCACUGACGCUGGGCCUCCCCAGAGCAGCGCCCAUCUUGAAUAAGGGUCCCCAAAGUGUCCCUGUGAUCCUUUGACCUCCAUCAGUGAUUUCUAGUGGAGGAACUUUCUUGACCUGACUGUGCUAGUGGCUGGGCCCAGGCUGAGCUCAGGCAGGGACCAGCUUCACACACGCCUCGGGCCCGCAGCGGCACCGGGUGAGGUGGGUUAUGAGCAGGGCCCAGAGAGAAGAGUGACUGGCGGCCUCGUGGUGACAGAGGGGGAUGGUGGGGCAGCACCUUGCCUGAGGACUCAGCAGGGUGGCCCCAAAGUGCCCCUACACAGUGCCAGGCUGUGGGCCCUGGUCACGAGCACGCUGGGGCCUGCUUCCCCAGGGACCCCGGAGCCAAAGAGGGGGUGAUGUCAAGAGGGAAAAGGCCAGCUUCUGGCCUUCGUCCUGCUACGGGCCCUCCAGGGCUCAGGGUCUUGGCAGCCAGGGAUCUGGGGACCCGCUGCCCUCCGCCGCAGGAAGGCCCGCCCCAGGAGGGGAGCCAUCGGGUGGGAGAGAGGACACAAGGUGGACACCUGGACAGCGGAAGGAGCCCAACGGUGUGGCCACCGCUCAAGCCCUGCUGGCAACCCUUGACCAGAGCCACCUCUCGAGCCGUUCUAUAACGUCAUUCUCUUAAGUAUUCCGGUCACAAAGCAUAAAAAAAUUGGAAAGCACAAGAAAGGUGUUUUGUCGCUCUGGCCUAACGUGCUGUUCAGGCGGGGAGGGCGGGAGGAGGCAGGAGCUAAGGGCGCCUCCACCUUGCGCGGGACACCCCGGGAAUGCGGCCCCAGGGGCAGGUCUCUUGGGUCCAGUUCACUGCUGAUCUCGGGGCGUGUGGUGGGUACUCCCUAAACAUUUAAGUGGACGAGCGAAUAAAACCCGGAUGCCCGGGGCCAGCCGGCCGGAAGAUCGCCAAUCUGCCCUUCCGCCUCCCGCCGGCUAUGUGCCCCGCGGGCCAGAGGGGUCCCGAAACGAGUCCCCCCAGGAAGGCUUUCGUCAGCCCGCCCGCGCCUGCAUUGGGGCUCCCCUUCCCGGAGGGCACCACACGGGUGGCUGCGCCCCGAGUCUCAGGUGUGUGAGCUCUUGGCGGAAGCCCCGUCGGGAUGCUGGGGGGCGGCCUCUUCCCGCGUGAGCCUCGCGGACCACCUUCUCACCAGGCCGGCUCCUCCUGGUCCUUGCGGUCUUCCACGAUCUUGUCCAAGGCAUUCAAGAUGGCUUCCAGGUUCCCCUCUGCUUUGAUUUCGGAGAUUUCCUCCUGAAGAGAGAGCAGCAAAGGGCUGUAAGGACACCACACAAGCCCACAGUGAAAGUACAGGACUCAGUAACAUUCUGGCGAAUUCCUGUUCUGUGCCUUUGUACCCACACGCCCUCUUCUCUCCAGGGGACUUUAGUAACGAAGAACAGAAAGUGUAAGAUGGAAAACAUCUGAAAAGAGCCUGCCCAUCACCCUGGGUGCCGCAGCCCCAGGCCCAGAGCACCCCGUGCCGGUGGCACAGAUGCGUCUGGGUGCUUCCGGGCCCCCCUGGCGCGUGCCGGCAGGGAGACAGAGCCCUCAAGAGGGAUCACGGUCACUGAAAGACCUGAAUGCAGCGGCCUCUCUUGGGCUCCCUGUCGUAUGCGGUUCCACUGAAUUCAACGCUUUGUUAAGUGCCCUGUCCGUGCCAGGCCCUGCACCAGGUGCCGGAGGUACGAAGACGAGACCACCCAGCGGACAGUCAUGAUGCAGGAGGACAAGAGCAGGGGUGUCGAGGUGCCCGUCCUUGGGAAGGAAGGGACGGCGGCCACCGUGGCCUGACCACUGGGGACCGGCAGGGGCUGAGCGUACGGCCCCUGCCUGCAGGACCCGAACCAGCACUGCCUGCCGGGCUCCCUGCCACUCACCCGGACAGACGUCUGCAACUGGGUGAUAAACUUGUCGUAGACUCGUUGCGUCAUCUCAGGCUGCAGCUGGGAGAGGCGCUUGUAACAGUCGGUGAAUCUCUGGUAGCUGGUGGGAAGGAGAGCCAGCCCUCAGCAGCUGCCGGGGCGCCCCCCCGCCCCACCCCCCCCGCCUCCCACGGCAGGGCUCUGGGCCAGGUCAGCCUCACCGCGCUGGUUAAAGGCGGUGGGUGCAAAGCGUCUCGCCUGCACCUCCGGUCACUGCAGACGGCUCAGCCCCACCUGACCACUCACUGCCUCUCCGCAGAGCCGCAGGGGAGCCCAGGGGUUACCCUCAAGGGUGGGUCACGAUGGUCCAGCCACUCAAACCACCGGGGUGGAGGGCUCGCUAAGGCUCAGCGCCAGCCGCCUCCCCGGUUUCCAACCAGCUCCCAGGUGACACUGCUGCUGGUGUGGGUAGGGGUCCCGGAGAAACUCUGGUCGCUCCAGGCCCCUUGCUGGGCUGGAUUAGGACAGGACAUGUGGCCUCUGGGAGAGUUUUCCUGCCUCCUCAAAGGAGCCACAGAGGAAGGAACUGAUGCCCUUUCUGGAGGACGUGACCGUAUCCAGAUGAUGCGUCCGGCUCCCGGCCACCGCAGGGGUCUCUGGCCUGAGGGCAGAGUUUAUACCCUAAGGAGGCAGAACGGAAGGAGGGAAAGAACUGGGGUCUCUGAGGACAUCGUCAAGCUGCCGAAGACGCCAAGCUAGAGGCCGCGCCUCUCGGGGCUGCUCGCUAGUGAAGUGAUGGAUGCCUCUUGUUGUUCCAGCCAUUUCUAAUCAGGUCUCCGGCAGCGGCGGCCGAGAGCAUCUCGCUGCUACAGCCCUUAUAGCUGGAAAGACCGGGGUACCCGGGACACUUCUGAUGGCUGGCCGUCUUGCACAAAGACAUGCCAGUAAGUUAAAGAAGUCUCUUGCCUUUUCUCUCCCCA